GUACCCGAGAGAAUCAUCUACAACGGUGAUGUGAAAAUCCCUGUUACCUGAGGUCAAAAAUAAAAGUCUCCCAGAAGAGCCGGAGUGGUGAUGCCUGGAUGCAGAGGAGAUCACACUGCUUAUAGAUCUGCACCAUGAGGAGACCAAAAGUUUCUGCAGCAGCAGGAGGUAAGCCAGGACUGCUGGUGGGUGUAAGGAGCAGAGAGCAAAGCCACAUGAGUUUGAGAAGAAGGCAGCAGCACCCUGAGGAUGGACACUUUGGGGCAGUGUCACGGUCCUGUACAGAAAACUUGAAGAGACACUGAAAACUUCAGGUGGGAACACGCCACCCAAACAGCUUGUGUGGUUUGGUCCAUGGACCUUUGGGGUCUGCACACCAGAGACUGAAAACUCUUAACUUACCCUAAAUUUCCUCUUUAUGGACUUCUGAUGUGAUAGGAAUGGCACAAAAAAAUCCAAUAUAUCUUCUUCAUCAUAGUGUUUCCAACCUCCUAACUUUCCCAGGACUACUUUCUGCUCAAAUUACUGGAACUUAAUUACAUGAGGUUUAAUUUCAGUUGCUUGGCCAGCUUUAAAAACAUAUAUUCAAAUUUGAACCACAAGGACAGAAUUUUGGGAGCCUCUUUGUCCUCUCGCUUUGUGUUAAUUUAAAUGAGGAAACUGUACCUGUGAAUCUCUGCUUUCCUUCACCUAUUCCAAGUCAUUGUCAGCUCUGGAGAGACAUCUCUGACUCACAGCAAUUUAAAGGAGAGCACAAACAACUCCUUAUUGUUUUAAUUUAUGUUUUUGAAACUGUGCAAACAGUAGAAAUUUGUCUUCUGCUUAUGCAUUUUCUUGUAAAUAAAAUGUAUUGAGACCAGAGAUGGAGUUACUCUGACUUUACACCAGAUAAUGUAUUGACAUUUUACAAGAAACUGUUGUAUUAUCCAUCCAUUUCACAAGUAGAUCUUACAAUGUUUAAUUAUAACACAAAAAAAAAAAAAAAGAAGUGGAAGGAGAAUCAAGGGAGGGACAUGGAGAUAGAAUGCAAAAGGACAUGGAUGAGAAGUGGUGGAGUUGGAGGAUAACAGCACCUAUCAAAGCAUUAUCUGAGAAUUCCUGUGAUUAGGACUUAUCUUUCUGGCUUCAUUAUUUCAUCAUAAUCUGCUGUUUACCUGAUAAGCAAUAAAUGGCCUCCAAAUUUUAUUGCA